GCCCGGCUAGCUCAAUCGGUAGAGCGUGUGACUCUUAAUCACAAGGUUGGGGGUUCGAUCCCCCCGUUGGGCU
rfam:Sclerotinia borealis F-4128 unplaced genomic scaffold scaffold00079, whole genome shotgun sequence.